GUCUGGGUGGUGUAGUUGGUUAUCACGCUAGUCUCACACACUAGAGGUCUCCGGUUCGAACCCGGACUCAGACA
rfam:Cucumis sativus cultivar 9930 chromosome 5, whole genome shotgun sequence.